CCACUGCUCUCCAUCCAAGACUGUUAAUUUCUUCGAAGAUUUCGAGGCAGAAAUUGGGCUGAAGCUCCACGACACUCCGUCUCUGUCUUAUCUGAAGUCGUAGCCUGCACAAAUCAACAUUUUCUUGAUUUCAAGUUCUCUGGGAUUUCAUGUUUUGUUUGAUAGGGUUGUGGGGUUUUCUUUAGUAUAUCAAGUGAUUAUGAAGGAGUUUAAAUUUGAAUUUGGCCUAUUUUUGACUUAGUUACUACGAUUCAUUUAGAAGUAAAUUGAUUUUGUAGUUGGUUUUUAGGAUCUUGAAUUAUUUGUAGUUUUGUACAUGGUUUUUGGCAACUGAUCUUCCAAUUAGUUCUAGUUGUUAAAAUGUACUAUCCUGUUUCAUUAUGUGCAUACUAUUAGAAGAGUUAAGCUGUUAUAUUGUUAAGAGUUAUUAAGCUGUUAUUAAGAGUUAGUUAAGAUGAAAGCUGACGUGUAAAUGCAGAGGUUAGGUUUAAGUUAAAGCUUAUAGCUUGUAUUAUAUAAAUAGUGUAAACCAUGGAUUAAUAAGAUUUGAUUCUUCAUUGCAUACUCAUGAGCUUAGCUUACUUCCUAUCUAACAUGGUAUCAGAGCUAGCUAUUUUUUUCCGAUCCACAGCGGUUACCGUUUUUCUUUCUUCUACACACGUCUUUUCUCUGUUCUUCUCCAUGGAAUCUUCUCAGUCUACACCAAACCACUUCCUAUCUCCCGUUUUCAACUUUUGGUGGAUAAACUCUCGUUUGAAAAAGGAUAGACUUAGUAUUUUGGGGGUUGUAUUAGAAGAGUUAAGCUGUUAUAUUGUUAAGAGUUAGUUAAGAUCAAAGUUGACGUGUAAAUGCAGAGGUUAGGUUUAAGUUCAAGCUUAUAGCUUGUAUUCUAUAAAUAUUGUAAAUCAUUGAUUAAUAAGAUUUGAUUCUUCACUGCAUACUCAUGAGCUUAGCUUACUUCCUAUCUAACACAUAUUGUUUCAUUUGCGACUGCUCCAAGAAAUUGGUUGCUUCAGCCUCGUCAAUGUGAUUUGAUUAUUAAUUUCUUUGAAAUCUUGGCUAAAUGUUGUCGUUUACAAGUAUACAAUUUGAAAAUUCCUAAAAUUUAUUUAUAAUUUGGGGGCUAUGAGUUAUGGGGUGUUUAAUUUGGAGCUAUGAAUUAAGGUGAAAUAGUGAAUUUAUAAUUAUUUAUUAUUAAUAUUUUUAAUAGGGGGUUACACUAAAUAAAACAGAGGCUAUAAAUAGAAUUACCCUUGCAAAUGAUGUGAGUCUUAUUUUGCCCCAACUCCUUGGAGGCCCAAACCCACACACCAAAAGUCCAUUCUCCCAGGCCCACUCCUUGUCUUCUUAACCUCCUUUGGGGGUGUUAUCACCUCGGAUCGAUUGGCCAAACAUGACGCACCAAUCGCUGGAGAGCCGCGGCGGUGCGCACCCGAUUCUUACCUUCGACACGGGACGAUGGUGAGGGGAAAGACAUGGGCGUGCGCUACACGCGUGCCUAAAAUAAAAAAGAAAAA
rnacentral:lncRNA from 1 species